UUAAAACAUCAUCUCUUUACCCAUUCCCCACAUAUUUCCUUUUUCUUUUCUUUUUUUGUGGGACCCUUUAACUUAAAUAUAACAUAAGAGUAGCAGGACUAGAUCCUGCAUAGUUGGCCUCUUUCCAACUAGUAUAUGGGGUAUAAAGCUACAUUCACCUGUCAAUCACCACACACACGACUCUGCCCCACUGUGAGGGACUUUUUAAUGUCUGUUGUGGCGUCUCAGUCGUUCAUGAUUGGCAGAAGCUCCACGUUUGCCCCGAGUGGAUGGUGUUAGGAUGUAAUUAUCAUCCGUGCUCAUCUGUCUGUCAUCCAUUACAAAGAUUUCUCCCACAAAAUCCCUGUAAUCCACACAGUCCGCCCUGUCCAUCACACACCCAGUCCUCCCUGUCCGUCACUGAAGAGUUCCUCUACAGUAUAAACCAGAGACCAGCGCUCCAUCAGUUUAUUCUUCACUCACUUCUGAGGUUCAUACACUGGUACAUCCUGAAGACUGUGAAAGCUCAUGCUGAGGACUGGAUGAGUGCCUGCCUUUUCCAUCAUGUCUGACAUUGAGGAGGAGCAUGAGUGAGUUGCUCAGUUUGUCUUUUUGUUCUAUAUUUCAAAAAUUGUAUUAAAGCUGAACUCCAUUAACAGCAAAAUCUCUUUCUGCUCUGUUUUAGGGAACAGGCUGGAGGUGAGGGCUGUGUUGUGAUCAUGUGUUUGUCAUCUAUUCAAUACUUUACACACUAAAUCACCUGUGGUGAGUUUUUGUGACAGAACUGCAAUAAAAGCAGAGCAGGGCAACUCCUGGCA
rnacentral:lncRNA from 1 species